rnacentral:rRNA from 1 species
AGAGUUUGAUCCUGGCUCAGAACGAACGCUGGCGGCAGGCUUAACACAUGCAAGUCGAACGGGUGCAGCAAUGCACCAGUGGCAGACGGGUGAGUAACACGUGGGAACCUUCCUAGAGGUACGGAACAACUCAGGGAAACUUGAGCUAAUACCGUAUACGCUCUUGCGAGGAAAGAUUUAUCGCCUUUAGACGGGCCCGCGUAGGAUUAGGUAGUUGGUGGGGUAACGGCCUACCAAGCCUACGAUCCUUAGCUGAUCUGAGAGGAUGAUCAGCCACACUGGGACUGAGACACGGCCCAGACUCCUACGGGAGGCAGCAGUGGGGAAUCUUGGACAAUGGGCGCAAGCCUGAUCCAGCCAUGCCGCGUGAGUGAAGAAGGCCUUCGGGUUGUAAAGCUCUUUUACCAGGGACGAUAAUGACGGUACCUGAGAAUAGC